rnacentral:lncRNA from 1 species
UAGGGAGGGUCUCUGAGGAGGCGACAGUGAGCAGAGAACAGAAUGACACAGGGAAACCAAACAUGCCCAGAUUGGAAGACGAGUGGUCCAGGCUGAGGACGAGCAAGAGCAAAGGCCCUGGGGCAGAGGUGGCCUUUGAGAGGGCGCCGGCGCCCACUCCAUCCAGCUGGACCGCGCGGCCCGGGAGACGGAUGCGGGGCGACAGGGAGCGCAGGCGGGCGCUCCGAAGUCAGGGCGCGGGGCUGAGCGGGACGGAACGCAGGAGUGGGCUGCAGCUCCGGGUCCAGGAAGGCAUUUUUAGAGAUAAGUGACAAUAAGCCAAAGGACUCCCCACAAUGACAGUGGUUCUAACGAGGCUGAUGGUGUGUGACCCCAUUUCCCAGAUGAGGAAACCGAGGUUCAGAGAGACUCAGGCGGCCAACAGCCCAAGCUGGUGUCACAGGGCUGUGUUAAUGGACCAGGUUGUUUACCUCUUCACUGCGUCCUGGGUUUUUGCAGAUUCCCAGCCAGUUCGGCACCUCUGUCAAUGGUGUUAAGAAGAUGCCCGGAGCAGCCUGCAGCCAGCGCAAGCCUGCUCCAUCCCAGGCCUCAGUCCUGUCCUCCUCUGUCCUUCCGAUACUGCAGCCGCAUGUCUCUGAACAGGAGCCACGUGCCUCCCUCACGUGGGGCUCAGGCGCUCUCAGUGCUCUCCGGUUAAGGUCCCGACGCCUCCGCGCCUCCACACGGCCUUCGAAGCCCUUCUGCGAUGAGCGCCUGCCCACUUCUCCAACGCAGGGGCUGCAGCCCAGAGUCCACCUGGACCGUUCCACUUCCCCACUGUGCCCUGACCUUGCAGAACCUGAGGCUGCAGACGUGGUUCCCUUUGCCAGGAGCAUCCUUUUCCAUCUCCUUCACCUGCUUCCUCCCGCUUACAUAGGUGCUACCUCCAGCCCCAGCAUCCCUCCCUGGAUUCCUCACCCGUCCUCCUGCCCCAUCCCUGAGAAUCUUUCCCAUUCAUCCCCAGUGGCUCAGGUGGCAAAGUGCAGCGACCCAGAGCCUGGACCUGGAAGUCCUAGCGGGGCUCCUGGAAUCUUACAGGGUCAUCACUUUGUUUCUAAAAGUCAAGACG